AAUACAAAGGGCAGCGAAACCGCGAGGUCAAGCAAAUCCCAUAAAGUUGUUCUCAGUUCGGAUUGUAGUCUGCAACUCGACUACAUGAAGCUGGAAUCGCUAGUAAUCGUAGAUCAGCAUGCUACGGUGAAUACGUUCCCGGGUCUUGUACACACCGCCCGUCACACCACGAGAGUUUGUAACACCCGAAGCCGGUGGAGUAACCUUUUAGGAGCUAGCCGUCGAAGGUGGGACAAAUGAUUGGGGUGAAGUCGUAACAAGGUAGCCGUAUCGGAAGGUGCGGCUGGAUCACCUCCUUUCUAAGGA
rnacentral:rRNA from 1 species